UCGGUGGUUGGAGGGGCUGUAGGCGCGCUGGUCUUACACGGUGAGGGUUGGCGAGGUGGGCUACUCGGGUCCACUGGUUGGAUGGUUAUGGUUGCCGGCGAAAGCUGAACUCCGGCAGUGGCUGGAGUUGUCGAUGGCGGCACCGGCAGACCGUUUCCUUGCUGAAGGUAUCAAUGUUGCAGUCCUCACCUUCCACUGCCCCAUGCCUCCCCCUGUGAUUCACUGAAAACCUGAUUCGAUCCAGUUUGCAUGCUUUGUACUGUAUUGCGCAGCAGCCAGACAUGCCCAUCCGGCCCGAAAGGAAUCGGCAAGCUGCAGAUUGAUCAAGCUAAGUAAUUUUCUUAUCUUUGUUUGCACGGCCAUAUAGCACGCCUUCUUGCUGAUUACUUCUUCCCGUACACUCACCUGAAACAACAUAGAUUCACUAAUUGAUUUCGGCCAGAUGCGCUGAUAUAGAAAUUUAGCUUGAUUAGUUAAUCUUCAGCUAGAUGAGCGCACACAUGUAACACACAGAACGUGCAAACACGGGAAAAUCUAUUGGAUGGCAAUAGGUGUGUGAUGCACCUAUGUUUUUAUUGUUUUGAUCUGGUCAAGUUCACAGGGGUUCUUAUUUUCAUAAGGCCAAAUGGUGUUCAUCAAUGCUUUGGAUAUGUUUCCCCUUUUUGCUAUGUAUGUUUUCAUGAUAUUUCUCUUGUCCUUUACAUAAAAUAUCUUUCCAUUGCCCCUCCGAUGACUCCCAAAUGUUGUAGUUCAUCUGUCAAAAAAGGUGCUUUGCCUGAUAAUAUUUUUUUUGUUAUGUUUGUUCAACAG
rnacentral:lncRNA from 1 species